GUCACUAAAGGCUAUUUCCAAACAUCAUGAGAAUUAAUAAUCUUACUGUCUAAAGAAGAUCGCGGCCGAGAAGAAUUGGAUUGAACGGGUGAUGCUCUAGCAGAUGGUUGUGCACUGGUCACAUUAGAAGUGAACAUAGGCAUCUUCCACUUAUCUGCCACAAAGGAGGAUCCUGUCGUAGCCGGUUGAUGAAAAGCACCAUAAGGUUGGCUAGACGUAGUACUAGUUGAAACUGGGGACGGUAGAUUUUGGUAUGUUGCAUUGGUGGUUAUGCUUGAAGAACUUACUUGUGGUCGUGGAGAUGCAUAUAAGGAGAGAAUUGAAGACUUUAAAUCUCGUUGUCUAGUCGAAGGAGCAUGCACAGUAGAAGGUUGCUUGGAUAAAGAAGCUAAAUUAGGAGACGACUGGGCUAAAGAAGUGGUAGCUGAUAUAGCUUCUUUCUUGGAAGUAACGUUGGUAACUGUAGCAGAAGAAGUGCUUUUAACUGAGUGAGCACUGGAAGAUCGAGAAGCAGUAUUAAGAUCUAAAGAGGCGUU